CGAAACUGUUGGCGGCUGCAGGCGGUGUUCUAGGAUAACGUCUUGGGCCUCCAUCCGUUUGUCUUUUGUUAGGCCUCGGGGCAAGGGAGUGGGACAGGCAGGCGAGGAGCAUGAGCAGGGUUGGAGAGAGAGGAGGACGUCAGGGGCUGGGAGCAGGGGUCUAGCGAGGGUGGACUUGACCCGACAUCUUUGUUCUUUGGGGGCGAGGAGAGGGAGGGCUUCGCUGAGGAGGGAAUAAAAGAGGACUUCGGUUGGUCUCCGGGGGGAUUCCGCUCCCUUUCCGUAAGGCCUGAGGCCACCCUGUCUUCCGUAGCUAUGAUGUCCCCUUCUGCUUUCCUAGAAUCAGAGCUGGAAGGGCCCUUAACCUCUAACUUAACUUUAUUCUACAGAUGGAGAAACUAAGGGCCCGCAGGGAUUGUGACUUGGCCAAAGUCACACAAGGAGUAAAAAGCAGAAUUGAAAUUUCAACUAGGGCCCUCUAUCUCAGAUACUGUACUACCCAGAAUGAAGUCUCAAUUUCAACAACCAUUACUUAUGAAACAGGCACUGUGCUAAAGAGUUGGAGAUACAGAGGCAAAAAACUUCCUGCCCUUGAGAAGCUCACAUUCUUUCUCUCUCUUUUUUAACAGGAGCUCACGUUCUAAUAACAGAAAGAACUAUACAUACAACAUACAGACCGAAUGGAAGGAUAAUGCCAAAGGGAAGGAAUUGGGGCCAGGUUUGUGCACUCACAACUGGAAAAAUCUGUAGAAAACGGGAUUUGAGGACUUCUUACUUACGGUCAACAAAGGAAAUACUGACUCUGGGAUUUAUUCUCAGAUAAUGGAGUUCAUCUUCUACUUGCAUGUAGUGAAUUCAUUCAACAGCUAUUAAUUGCAAUGAAGCUCAUAUAAAAGUGAUGGGGUGUGUCUUCUUGACUGAAACAAGCUAUGCGAGCCAUACCACUGAAUGGAAAGACUUCAGGUGUUGCAUUGAGUGACUGAUGUUUUUGCAAAAACAGGUUUUGGUUUUAGAUGAAGUUUAUUUCUUAAUGUUUGGUAGAAAGGGAGAAAGGACAUCAGAAAUGACAAUAUGCCUUACUGAUGAAGAAAAGCAAGGUAACUUGAAUUAUCCUAACAUUUGUUUCUUUUGGGUGUCAUUACUUUUAAGACAAAUAAAAUUUUAUUAAAAAUCUUA